AAAUUAAGGAAGCAUGGUAAUGUGCACAGAAAUUGAUUUGGGUCUCUAGGCCUGCCCUCUUUGAUGUCUUUCAGCUUUGAUUUGGGGACAUGGUUCCGCAACACAACC